rnacentral:rRNA from 1 species
GAUGAACGCUGGCUACAGGCUUAACACAUGCAAGUCGAGGGGAAACGACGGGGAAGCUUGCUUCCCCGGGCGUCGACCGGCGCACGGGUGAGUAACGCGUAUCCAACCUGCCUCUGACUGAGGGAUAACCCGUCGAAAGUCGGCCUAAUACCUCAUGGCAUCGUCUGCGGGCAUCCAACGACGAUUAAAGAUUUCAUCGGUCAGGGAUGGGGAUGCGUCUGAUUAGCUUGUUGGCGGGGUAACGGCCCACCAAGGCUACGAUCAGUAGGGGUUCUGAGAGGAAGGUCCCCCACAUUGGAACUGAGACACGGUCCAAACUCCUACGGGAGGCAGCAGUGAGGAAUAUUGGUCAAUGGGCGGGAGCCUGAACCAGCCAAGUAGCGUGCAGGAUGACGGCCCUAUGGGUGGUAAACUGCUUUUAGGCGGGGAUAAAGUGAGGGACGUGUCCUUCAUUGCAGGUACCGCAUGAAUAAGGACCGGCUAAUUCCGUG